CAACUACUAGGGGACAGUUAUACAGUGGUUAUACAUGGUGGUUGCAGUGUUUGGUUUCAUAACAACCAACAAAACUCAUCUACAAGUCACUCUGUUCUCUGUAAUUAUUAAUUAUUUGAACAUUUAAUUUUUGUGUGAAAAGAAACUAACAUACACUUGAUAUUACAGUUGAGUCUUUUAGACAUUCAUAACCAGAAGUACUUGUCUGUAAUUUGAUGGCACGCAACAAAAUACUAGCUGUCAUUGGAAGAUUCUAAGUUAAUAAAAAAAAUUGAAACCGCCUGAUUAAAAGUAGGUACCCUUAUUUAUCAAUAUCUAUAAUUAUUCCUAUAUGGUAACAAUUAUAUUUUAUUUAGAUCUAACUGUUCAAAUGGUCCUGUUACUAUGAGUAAAUAGCAUUCUGAUUGUGCUGGGGAAAUUAAAAACAAUGCAUUAAUAAAAUAAAUAACAAAUUUACAAAUUUAUUCAGGG
rnacentral:lncRNA from 1 species